GUGGACAAGUCAACCCAUCACCAAUCCCGUUACUCCCAAACAUAUAACAUAAGGAGAUACACGCAUUCCAUACACUUAACAAGAGUUUAGAAAUUCAAUUGCCUGAAUCCAAUAAGAAUUUACUUCGUGACUUGAGCCUUUCCCAUUUGUUGAACUUCCAACUCAAACCAAUCUAGUCAAAUAAUUAACCACAAUAAGAUUUCAAAACUAAAAACACCCAUAUUAUUAUGUGUCUUGUCAAUAAGUCACCCCGAAUUUAUAAUCAUGUUCCUAAUCUUAAUGUCAAUUAAUAUUUCAACUCUCAUAUCUCUCAAAUUCAAACCUAGAGUUAAGUCGUAAUUCCUCCAAACACUACAAACCUAAUAGCUUUCAUAUAAUAUAAUACACUAAAAUAAGGACCCUAAAGAAAAUGACAAGUCAGUAGCUUAAAUCGCUACAAAAAAACAACUAUCCUAUCAUUCUUUAAACACGAUACAAUUAACUUAUAUUUUAUUAUAAAAUAAUUAUCAAAUUUUAUCUAAACAUGGACAAUUAAUUCCAUCACAAAGAAUGCACAGUUACUUUGAGAAAAGGUGAUACUAUUAAUAUAUUUCUUAAAUCAUCCUGCAGGACAUUUUAAAUAAAUUCAUUUCUCCAAUUCAACCAACCCAAUAUUCCAGCCCACGUCUUUACCUUUAACCCAGUCUAAAAUCAUUGUCUUCUUCUCCAAAGAGAAAAAUCAGAGCGUAGUAGCAACAAAACGCGUCAAAAUUCAGCGCGUCAAAUCCGGCCCCCCUCUUCACGUUGGACACAUGCAUCAGUAGUACUCUCAUUUUUCUUCUCUUCACGAGACCCGUGAGGAACAUGAGUGAGUGUAACCGAAGGGAAAUACUCAACGUCUCUUUCUCCUUUUUGGUAUGGUUCGACUUUAGCCGAAUCUCUCUGCACUCAGCCAGGAAAGCACGCCAAAUUGUCCCAUGAAUGCUGGAGAUUGAGCCACAUCGCUUGUCAAGGACGAUGGGAUAAAUUUCGGUCGUCGAUUUUCCCCUUUCCCCUUUCCCCUUUUGGAAUGGGUCAGGAGCCUCAGAAAAGUUUGUUCACCCAUUUUAUGAAAGAUUUUUGGGGAGUUUGGAAUUUUUCGAAAUGGAAAUUUUGCCCCUCCCCCCCAUUUUCCUAAACCUAAUCUGUCCCUAUAUAUAUAUUCUCUUUGUCAUUUGUAACGGGGAUUUUUUUUGGUCGAGGAUAUUUUUGGUUGAGUAAAAAGAAGAUUUUUUUAAAAAAUUUCCUCUGGUCAGUAGAGAAGAACAAAUAAAAAAGAAAGAUAUUCAAAAUUCACAGAUAAAAGUUGAAAAAGAUCUUUUAGUAUCGAUUUAAAAAAAAAAGCCUAGAGUUCCAGGUCGACUCAAAAUUUUUGUUCAUUGUUCACGUCGGUAAUUUGUGUUCAAGUUUUGUGGAAUGGAAGUCGCUGCCUAUUCCAGCUCAUUUGAACCCCAUUUGUUGCCCUGAAAAAAGUGAAAUUUUUCUUACCUCACUCGUCUUAUCGAGUGCUUCUUCUUCCAAUCCGCCAUGGAUUUUAACCCUUCCCUUGCAUUUCGACAAAAUCGUAAAGGCUUAAUUUCUUACUUUCGAGUUAACCCUUAGAAAAGGCAAACAAGUGUCAAACUUGAAGAAUGCGCGCAAAUCAAGAAGUUGAAGAAAUAGGGAAAAAUAGUCAAUUUUUAUUAUUAUUUUAUUUUCUUUAUCUUUAUAUUGUAUUUUGUUAGCUUUGGGCCUAAGCCCUUGUCUGUUGUAUUACUAUUAUUUUGCUAGUUUAGUACAGGUACAAUGGGCCUAAGUCUCAAAUGCGAAACGGGUCCAAAUACGGAUCCAGGCGUACAAAAAACCCAAAUUUGGGCCCAAAACUCUCUCUUUCUCUAUCUCUCUCUUUAUAUGCUUCUAAUUAUUUGUUAUUUAAUUGUCGGUUGGUUUUAGGGUUAAAGAAUUCCGAUCCCCGCAAAA